GCCGGGUGUUGUGGCGGGCGCCUGUUGUCCCAGGUACUUGGGAGGCUGAGGCAGGAGACUCGCUUGAGCCCAGGAGUUGGAGGUUGCUGUGAGCUGUGAUGUCAUGGCACUCUACCCAGGGCAACAGAGUGAGAUUCUGUCUCAA
rnacentral:SRP_RNA from 1 species